rnacentral:rRNA from 1 species
GACGAACGCUGGCGGCGUGCUUAACACAUGCAAGUCGAACGGAAAGGCCCCCUUGUGGGGUACUCGAGUGGCGAACGGGUGAGUAACACGUGAGUAACCUACCCUUUACUUUGGGAUAACUUCAGGAAACUGGGGCUAAUACCGGAUAGGAGCUCCUGCUGCAUGGUGGGGGUUGGAAAGUUACGGCGGUUGGGGAUGGACUCGCGGCUUAUCAGCUUGUUGGUGGGGUAGUGGCUCACCAAGGCUUUGACGGGUAGCCGGCCUGAGAGGGUGACCGGCCACAUUGGGACUGAGCUACGGCCCAGACUCCUACGGGAGGCAGCAGUGGGGAAUAUUGCACAAUGGGCGGAAGCCUGAUGCAGCAACGCCGCGUGCGGGAUGACGGCCUUCGGGUUGUAAACCGCUUUCGCCUGUGACGAAGCGUGAGUGACGGUAAUGGGUAAAGAAGCACCGGCUAACUACGUG